ACUCUAGUAUUGAUCCCAAUCAACAUGCGUUGAAGUGGAUUGGGGUGUAACUUAAACUAAGUUACAUAGUUACACCCAAUCCACCUCAACGCAUGUGAAUUGGGGUCAAUACUAGA
rnacentral:pre_miRNA from 1 species